GGCCCAGUGGUGUAAUGGUUAGCACUGGCACCUCACAGCAAGAAGAUCAUGGGUUCGAUCCCGGCUUGGGGCU